CUUGAAUAACUAUAAGAGGUCCAGCCUGCCCAGUGACUUUGUUCAACGGCCGCGGUAUCCUAACCGUGCGAAGGUAGCGUAAUCACUUGUCUUUUAAAUGGGGACUUGUAUGAAUGGCAUCACGAGGGUUAUACUGUCUCCUUUUUCUAAUCAGUGAAACUAAUCUUCCCGUGAAGAAGCGGGAAUAAACAUAUAAGACGAGAAGACCCUAUGGAGCUUUAAACUCAAUAACAAAUACUAACCUUACAUCAACUUUCAGAAAAUCAACCUUAAUUUUAGUAUUAUGAUUGUUAGUUUUAGGUUGGGGUGACCGCGGAGUAAAAAUUAACCUCCACAUUGAACGGGACCUGUCCCUGAGCCAAGAACUACAGCUCUAAGCACCAACAAAUUGACAUUAAUUGACCCAAUAUUUUGAUCAACGAAC
rnacentral:rRNA from 1 species